rnacentral:rRNA from 1 species
GACGAACGCUGGCGGCGUGCUUAACACAUGCAAGUCGAACGGAAAGGCCCUGCUUUUGUGGGGUGCUCGAGUGGCGAACGGGUGAGUAACACGUGAGUAACCUGCCCUUGACUUUGGGAUAACUUCAGGAAACUGGGGCUAAUACCGGAUAGGAGCUCCUGCUGCAUGGUGGGGGUUGGAAAGUUUCGGCGGUUGGGGAUGGACUCGCGGCUUAUCAGCUUGUUGGUGGGGUAGUGGCUUACCAAGGCUUUGACGGGUAGCCGGCCUGAGAGGGUGACCGGCCACAUUGGGACUGAGAUACGGCCCAGACUACUACGGGAGGCAGCAGUGGGGAAUAUUGCACAAUGGGCGAAAGCCUGAUGCAGCAACGCCGCGUGCGGGAUGACGGCCUUCGGGUUGUAAACCGCUUUCGCCUGUGACGAAGCGUGAGUGACGGUAAUGGGUAAAGAAGCACCGGCUAACUACGUG